rnacentral:rRNA from 1 species
AUUGAACGCUGGCGGCAGGCUUAACACAUGCAAGUCGAGCGGUAACAGAAAGUAGCUUGCUACUUUGCUGACGAGCGGCGGACGGGUGAGUAAUGCCUAGGAAUCUGCCUAGUAGUGGGGGAUAACUUGCCGAAAGGUAAGCUAAUACCGCAUACGUCCUACGGGAGAAAGGAGGGGACUCUUCGGAGCCUUUCGCUAUUAGAUGAGCCUAGGUCGGAUUAGUUAGUUGGUGAGGUAAUGGCUCACCAAGACCGCGAUCCGUAACUGGUCUGAGAGGAUGAUCAGUCACACUGGAACUGAGACACGGUCCAG